CACCACCACCAUCACCAUCUCCCCCACCACCAUACUACUAUAAAUCUCCUCCACCUCCUAAAAAAUCACCAGCACCAGUGCCAUACUACUACAAGUCCCCACCACCACCUUCACCAUCUCCUCCCCCUCCUUAUUACUAUAAGUCACCACCACCACCUAAGGCCUAUCCCCCUCCAUACUACUACUCUUCUCCACCACCACCACCUAAGGCCUAUCCUCCACCAUACUACUACACUUCUCCACCACCCCCAAAAUCACCAGCACCAACACCUUAUUAUUACCCUUCUCCACCACCACCUAAGGCUCAUCCUCCGCCUUACUACUAUACUUCUCCACCACCACCUGUUCCUUAUCCUCACCCGUCUCCACAUCCCCAUCAUUUCGUCGUAAAGGUGGUAGGAAAGGUCUAUUGCUACAGAUGCUAUGACUGGGAUUAUCCUGAAAAAUCACAUGACAAGAAGCAUCUCAAAGGUAUAUAAAUUUUUCUUAAAUAUUUAUAUUUCUCUCCUAGAAUAUUUUACUACAGCUUUUCAAGUUUUAUCUCUUAAUCUUCAUUGAUUUUAAUUUUCUUUCAUUAAUGAGGAGAUAGCUUAAUUUUGGAUUAUUACAUUAAAUAAUAAUAUUACUAUAAAAUAAGGAUAAUUUAUAGGAUAAUAAGACAUGCAUUGCUUAUUUAAAAUUUUUGUUUUGGCGGCUAAUGUGCUUCUAUUAGACAUGUGGCAUAAUUCUAAUUAUUUAAAGGUGGAUUUUAUUUUUCUUUUCUUUUUUAAUAUUACAAUCAUAGUAAUGAUGUAAUUAUCUGGACAUUCCUGGUUGUUUAUGUUCUGCCUUAAAAUCAUAAAAGAUUUUAUUUUAUUACCUUUUUUUUUUUUUCUGUUAGCUCCUUUCAUCACCUCUAGAUUAGGCUUAAAGGCCAGCAAGUUACACUUUGGCUCUUAUUUUACACAUAACCAGUAGAUAAGUCGGGUUAUAAAGGUAAUAUGAAAAUGACACUUAUAAAAUAAUAAAUAAAUAAAAGUGCACCAAUUAUAAUUUAUGAAUUAUGAUGGCUCAGUCUACCAAGUUGCCAUUUUAUUAAAAUUAAAAUUUAAAAUUUAAAAUAUUUUUUUAUAUAAAUAUCGAAAUAAAAGGGCAUAUGUAUUUUUUUAAAUAAUUAUUAGAUUUAAAUAAAACAAGAAAAAGUAACUAUUAUUAUCCUAUCUUUUUGACUUGUAUAAAAGAAAAAAUAUGGAUUUUUUAUGUCUUAUUUUUAUUAAACAUGAAUCAGGUGCCGUAGUGGAGGUAACAUGCAAGACAGGUGAAAAGGAGAUCAAGGCUUAUGGUAAAACCAAGAUCAACGGUAAAUACAGUAUCACCGUUGAGGGCUUUGCGUAUGGCAAAUAUGGAGCCGAGGCUUGCAAGGCUAAGCUCCAUAAGGCACCCGAAGGCUCACCAUGCAACAUACCAACUAACCUCCACUGGGGCAAGAAGGGUGCCAAGCUCAAGGUGAAGUCCAAGACAAAGUAUGAAGUUGUCCUCUAUGCUAAGCCAUUUGCUUAUGCUCCUAAGACUCCUUAUGAAGAGUGUGAGAAGCCCAAGCCUAAGCCUACACCUGCUCCUUACUAUUACACUUCUCCACCACCACCACCAUAUUAUUACAAAUCACCACCACCACCAUCUCCAUCCCCACCACCUCCAUACUACUACAAGUCUCCCCCUCCACCAUCUCCAUCUCCUCCUCCACCUUACUACUAUAAGUCACCACCUCCCCCUUCUCCAUCACCACCACCCCCAUACUACUAUAAAUCNNNNNN
rnacentral:lncRNA from 1 species